GGGGGGUAGCCAUUCCUUUCUCCAGCGGAUCUUUCCCAUCCAGGGAUCAAACCUGCAUCUCUUGCGUCUCCUGCUUUGGCAGGCAGGUUCUUUACCGGCUGAGCCGUUGGGAAAGGCCCCUCUGGAUACGUGGACUUCCACAUUUUCGAAGGCAAUCUUGAGACAAAGAACUGGGCGCAGGAGUUGCAGGAAGGGGGACCCCUUCCAGGGCCCGAAGCUGGGCUCUUGUCUAACACUCAGAAAUGAACUGUCCGAGGAGACACAUGUGCAAGAGAUUUUAUUGGGAAAGGGCGCCCGGGUGGAGAGCAGUAGGGUGAGGGGACCCAGGAGAACUGCUCUGCCGCGUGGCUCGCAGUCUCGGGUUUUAUGGUGAUGGGAUUAGUUUCCAGGUGGUCUUUGGCCAAUGACUCUAAUUCAGAGUCUUUCCUGGUGGCGCACGCAUCACUCAGCCAAGAUGGAUGCUAGCGAGAGGGAUUCUGGGACGUGGACGGACACGCGGUGUCUCCUUUCGACCUUUCCCAAACUCUUCCGGUUGGUGGUGGCUGAUUAGUUCCGUAUUCCUUACCAGGAUCUCCUGUCAUAAAACAGCUCAUGCGAAUGGUUACUAUGGUGCCCGGCCAGGGUGGGCGGUCUCGAUCAGGGUGCUUCCCCUGACACAGGUAGUUUGGGAGGUCAUCUCCAGAAGCACUGUGAGAGGCUGGGGGAGUCAGUCGGAAAGGGAGGCGAGCCAGUGCUAAGGAGGAGGUCACUGCUCUGGGCAGUGAGGGGUCAGGUUCUGAGGGAGCCUCCAGGUCUGAGCAGACGCUUCCUCCGGGAGCAGGGAAGCGCGGUAUUUUUCCUCCACUAAACUGUGCUCAGGCAGGGCUGUAGGGGAGCCUCCUAUCCUGACUCACUCUGUCCCCAGAUUUUCCCUUUGAGUUAGAUCCAUCUUUGUCUUCCAAUAGCAAUGCAUAUCUUUUUUUUUUUAAUGCAUGAUUAAUACAAGUAUUUGUUUUGAAUAAUUCUGUCUCCUGGAUCCUCAGCUGUAGUGCAGAUCGGCUAGGAAACCUCCAAAGUCCUCCCCAGCGCUCACAUUCGAGGACUCUACCUGGGAAUCGAGGCCAACUCCAGGAAGCUGAACAAUAGAUAGAAAGAGCAUAGCCUGAUCCGUGGAGGGGGUGGGUGGAGAGGCACCCAUCCUUUGUCUUGCAAAUUGAAUACGGAAACAAUUGCCGGGGAGCAGGUAAGACUUCCCACAGUGUCAAUUCUCAGCUGAAGGCACUUUUGUAACUGCGACUUGGCUUCUGCUUCGACACUGCAGGGGCUCUGCUGACAGCCUUCAAGAGAUACCAUCGAGACUUUGUCACAUAAACUGAACCAUUUAGACAGAGCUGAGGUGACAGCAGAAUGAACUUCAACUGGACCGUGGUGGGGUAGAGGGAUAAAUCCUCAGAAAAUUAAGUCUGUGCCGAUACAACCUUCCUGCACCUCCUUCUCUCAUAAUCUACCUUAAACCUGUUACUGAACCGUCUGUCAGUUUGGGGCGUAAGGAAGACAUGUUGGGAAAAUCAAAUUUUAGCAUGAAAGAGAAAUAACUGCCAAUCAUCCCAGCGAACGAUGGACUGGUAACCUCAAACCAAAGCGCACUGUUCCCUGAAGAGCACGGAGAGAAAGAACACUGAGCGGGUGCCUGGGGUGGCUCAGAGGGUCAGGAAGUCAGGAGGCUCCUUUGGAUUUUGUGGACUUGGCCCCAGCAGGGGCUCGAGAUGCGGUCUGGCCAGGGCAGCGGACUCUGAAGAAGACAUGGAGACCCUGUGGGCUG
ensembl:lncRNA